UACUCUGAACUUUAACCACUGGGCCAUGUCACCCUGCCCUUAGGCUGAUUAUCCUGUUGUGUGUUUUCACUAGCAGCAGCAGGUUGUUGGUGGUCAUUACUUGUGGUUGUAUGGACACACUAGCAGCAGCAGCUAGGUUGUUGGUGGUCAUUACUUGUGGUUGUGUGGACACACUAGUAGCAGCAGGUUGUUGGUGGUCAUUACGUGUGGUUGUGUGGACACACUAGCAGCAACAGGUUGUUGGUGGUCAUUACUUGUGUUUGUAUGGACACACUAGCAGCAGCAGGUUGUUGGUGGUCAUUACUUGUGUUUGUGUGGACACACUAGCAGCAGCAGGUUGUUGGUAGUCAUUACUUGUGGUUGUGUGGACGCACUAGCAGCAACAUUGUGUCCACCUUCAAAGAUUUUCCGAAUGAUUUGUCGAAGUUUAGUAAGCUUCACCACAAGUAUAGGAUCUGGCAUUCGUUGCAGUGAGCUAACCAUUUUGGCCUACGAAUUUUAAAACUUCAUUGCAAUUUUGGUGCACAUGCAAUCAAUAAUGUUCUUCAUGCAUCAGCUGCAUUUACAUUUUUGGUGUUGUCACUUCCGUCGUCAUGUGCAUGAUUGUUUGGUGGUUACUGAAAACUUUGUAUCAUGUCGAAAAUGUUGAUACGCAUGCGUGCCUUGUAUUAGAUGAUGGCACGUUGCUGUUCUUUAAUAAAUUUAUGAACGUUUAUUUUUCUUUUGCAAUGCUCAGCGACUAUACAGUCGAAUGUAUUUCCAAACACGCCGCCAUUUGCAGUCAUCACAAAUAACGCGUUUCAAUUUCUUAAAGAAAACUGGAAAACGCACAGACUUCAACAUCAAAUUUUGAAUUAAGGAUUCAGUCGAGCGUGGUUUGCGUAAGUAGCCACGCUGCUAAGUAGUGAGUGCCACGGGCCUAAGUAGCCACUCUGUUAAGUAGUGGAUGCUACGGGCGUCGUUAUAGCCGCGCUGCUAAGUAGUGGGUGCCACGGACCUAAGUAGCAGUACUGCUAAGUAGUUGGUUCUGCUGGGGUAAGUAGCAGUACUGCUAGGUAGCAAUAUUUGUACAAGUAUUGUGCGGCGAUUUAUGUAGAUGAGAAAUUUGGUACACACCUGUGCUGGCAUCAAGAAGUCCCGUGUACAACGAACUUGUUUGUCUAACGCGGGGAUUUGUUCCGUGUACUACGAAGUUGUUCGUCUAACGCGGGGAUUUGUUCCGUGUACUACGAACUUGUUUGUCUAACGCGGGGAUUUGUUCCGUGUACUACGAACUUGUUUGUCUAACGCGGGGAUUUGUUCCGUGUACUACGAACUUGUUCGUCUAGUACGAUGAUUGUCAACGUCCGUCUAUGUAUUUCUAGGUCAUAAGUUAUCACAUUCUCAUGCCUAUUUCAGUGUAAUGUCGUCAGAGUCUUCGUCACUUAUUAAGUCUUUUGAUGUUUUUCAAGCCCUCCACUGAUCAAAAUAAAUGCCAUUUAUUA
rnacentral:lncRNA from 1 species